rnacentral:tRNA from 1 species
AGAAGAAAGAAGCAGAAGUGGUUAUGCGGCUGGCUUGAAACCAGCAUGAGGGGGUUCGAUUCCUUCCUUUCUCGUG